UCGCGGCCUAUCAGCUUGUUGGUGAGGUAACGGCUCACCAAGGCGACGACGGGUAGCCGGCCUGAGAGGGCGACCGGCCACACUGGGACUGAGACACGGCCCAGACUCCUACGGGAGGCAGCAGUGGGGAAUAUUGCACAAUGGGCGCAAGCCUGAUGCAGCGACGCCGCGUGAGGGAUGACGGCCUUCGGGUUGUAAACCUCUUUCAGCAGGGAAGAAGCCCUAGGUGACGGUACCUGCAGAAGAAGCGCCGGCUAACUACGUGCCAGCAGCCGCGGUAAUACGUAGGGCGCGAGCGUUGUCCGGAAUUAUUGGGCGUAAAGAGCUCGUAGGCGGCUUGUCGCGUCGGUUGUGAAAGCCCGGGGCUUAACUCCGGGUCUGCAGUCGAUACGGGCAGGCUAGAGUUCGGUAGGGGAGAUCGGAAUUCCUGGUGUAGCGGUGAAAUGCGCAGAUAUCAGGAGGAACACCGGUGGCGAAGGCGGAUCUCUGGGCCGAUACUGACGCUGAGGAGCGAAAGCGUGGGGAGCGAACAGGAUUAGAUACCCUGGUAGUCCACGCCGUAAACGGUGGGCACUAGGUGUGGGCGGCAUUCCACGUCGUCCGUGCCGUAGCUAACGCAUUAAGUGCCCCGCCUGGGGAGUACGG
rnacentral:rRNA from 1 species